rnacentral:lncRNA from 1 species
GGAAUUGAAUAGGACCGAAACGGUUAUGUAGGCAGGGAAUUACUAUAGUUUUAGUGGGAUAAUAUGAUGUGUUCACCCAUCUUUCUUAUAAACACCAUUAAAAAAAAGGUUACUUUUUAUGGGUUCCUCAUCCUUAUUGGGUUUUGGUGGAUUCAACCAUCAAAUGAUGAUCCCUUAGCUUUACUUCCACUCCACUACCACCCCCAAUCUAUACAAAUCACAAUUACCAAAAUCUACAUGCCUUAAAA